rnacentral:rRNA from 1 species
AUUGGGCGUAAGCGAGCGCAGGCGGUCUUUUAAGUCUAAUGUGAAAGCCUUCGGCUCAACCGAAGAAGUGCAUUGGAAACUGGGAGACUUGAGUGCAGAAGAGGACAGUGGAACUCCAUGUGUAGCGGUGAAAUGCGUAGAUAUAUGGAAGAACACCAGUGGCGAAGGCGGCUGUCUGGUCUGCAACUGACGCUGAGGCUCGAAAGCAUGGGUAGCGAACAGGAUUAGAUACCCUGGUAGUCCAUGCCGUAAACGAUGAUUACUAAGUGUUGGAGGGUUUCCGCCCUUCAGUGCUGCAGCUAACGCAUUAAGUAAUCCGCCUGGGGAGUACGACCGCAAGGUUGAAACUCAAAAGAAUUGACGGGGGCCCGCACAAGCGGUGGAGCAUGUGGUUUAAUUCGAAGCUACGCGAAGAACCUUACCAGGUCUUGACAUCUUCUGACAGUCUAAGAGAUUAGAGGUUCCCUUCGGGGACAGAAUGACAGGUGGUGCAUGGUUGUCGUCAGCUCGUGUCGUGAGAUGUUGGGUUAAGUCCCGCAACGAGCGCAACCCUUAUUACUAGUUGCCAGCAUUAAGUUGGGCACUCUAGUGAGACUGCCGGUGACAAACCGGAGGAAGGUGGGGACGACGUCAAAUCAUCAUGCCCCUUAUGACCUGGGCUACACACGUGCUACAAUGGAUGGUACAACGAGUCGCGAGACCGCGAGGUUAAGCUAAUCUCUUAAAACCAUUCUCAGUUCGGACUGUAGGCUGCAACUCGCCUACACGAAGUCGGAAUCGCUAGUAAUCGCGGAUCAGCAUGCCGCGGUGAAUACGUUCCCGGGCCUUGUACACACCGCCCGUCACACCAUGAGAGUUU